GACAUACUCCCUCCGUUCAGAAUUACUUGUCGUCAAAAUGGAUGUAUCUAGAUGUAUUUUACUUCUAAAUAAAUCCAUUUUUGAGACAAAUAAUUUCGAACGGAGGGAGUAGUAG
rfam:Triticum aestivum genome assembly, contig: Triticum_aestivum_CS42_TGACv1_scaffold_132827_2BL